rnacentral:rRNA from 1 species
AGGACGAACGUUGGCGGCGUGCCUAAUACAUGCAAGUUGAGCGUGGCCUUAGUUUACUAAGGUCUAGCAGCGGACGGCAGAGUAAUGCACAGGAACGUACCUCAGAGUGGGGAAUAGCCCUUCGAAAGAAGGGGUAAUACCGCAUGGUCUCGCAAGAGUAAAGCCGCAAGGCGCUUUGAGAACGGCCUGUGUCCUAUCAGGUUGUUGGUGGGGUAAUGGCCUACCAAGCCUAUGACGGGUAACUGGUCUGAGAGGAUGACCAGUCUGAUCGGGACUGAGACACGGCCCGAACUCCUACGGGAGGCAGCAGUAGGGAAUUUUGCGCAAUGGACGAAAGUCUGACGCAGCGACGCCGCGUGGAGGAUGAAGGUUUUCGGAUUGUAAACUCCUUUUGCUAGGGAAUAAUUUGAAGGUACCUAGCGAAUAAGCACCGGCUAACUCCGCGCCAGCAGCCGC